GACGAACGCUGGCGGCGCGCCUAACACAUGCAAGUCGAACGAGAGAGAGGGAGCUUGCUUCCUCGAUCGAGUGGCGAACGGGUGAGUAACGCGUGAGGAACCUGCCUCAAAGAGGGGGACAACAGUUGGAAACGACUGCUAAUACCGCAUAAGCCCACGACCCGGCAUCGGGAAGAGGGAAAAGGAGCAAUCCGCUUUGAGAUGGCCUCGCGUCCGAUUAGCUAGUUGGUGAGGUAACGGCCCACCAAGGCGACGAUCGGUAGCCGGACUGAGAGGUUGAACGGCCACAUUGGGACUGAGACACGGCCCAGACUCCUACGGGAGGCAGCAGUGGGGAAUAUUGCACAAUGGGGGAAACCCUGAUGCAGCGACGCCGCGUGGAGGAAGAAGGUCUUCGGAUUGUAAACUCCUGUUGUUGAGGAAGAUAAUGACGGUACUCAACAAGGAAGUGACGGCUA
rnacentral:rRNA from 1 species